GAUUAAUCAAGACACCUGGGGCCAAUUAAGAUCCUUCCAGAAAGCAGCGGAGACAGCUAGGAAGGGACCCAGGUAAGAGGAUGGAGGAUCAAUGGACCACUACCAUGUCUUGCAGCUCUGAGGAUGCUCACGAUGACAGGACAGCUCCGGACUGGUCCAGAGGCUUCUGAAGUUUCUUCAUUGAUUUCAACACUCUCCACAUAGAACUCAGCCAUUAUUUCUUGCUGUGUCUAUUCUCUUCCAGACAGCAUAUAUCACAGAACUCUGUGUAUUCCAUAUCACAGCUACAAGUCUGCCCUCCACAGGAGAACAAAUGUGUCAGCUGCAAAGGAUUUUAAAUACUUGUUUUUAAAGUAUUUUUAGUGGAAACCAUGAUUUUACAUUAACUAAAUGAAUGUUUUAUUUGAGACCAUAUAAUACCAUUAAAAUUAAUUUUCUCCUUCGGAAUUUAUAGGGGAAGAUGAGAAAUUGAUACCUGGGAGAGAGGAAAGAAGCCGCCUUUCCAAAGGGGGUGAAAUAUUGAAAAGUCGGUCUCUCCAAAAGACUCCAUAAAGGAAUUAAAGUUAAGAGAUCAGAGCCAGAUGGCUCUAUCCAGGACUCUCAGGGUUACUACAAAGCAGAAAUUGAAGCACUAAGAUAAGAUAUUUUAAAAUGCAUGAAAAUGUGAUACAAGGAAUGGAUCAGACACAAUAUGGUACAGCCAUAGAGAAGAUGUGAAAAGGAAUGCUCACUGAACCUCAUAUGAUUAAGCUUUUGGCUUUGGUUUGGAUGAGCAGUCUACAAUUUCAGAUGUUUGUGUUAACUUCUUUUUUCUGUAAACCUGAAAUUCAUAGAAUAGGCUGUUGUGCUGUCCCUCCACACUUAUGUGUAUGAAUGUGCAUGUUCAUACACUUUCUGCCAGUGAGAAAAACUGCAAGAACAGUAAAUCCCAUUAUGUUUUGGCAUAUUUGCUUCUGCGAUUCAAAUGAAAAAUGAAAAAUACAGGAAAAAUGUACUAAACUAUUUAAAACCAUCAGGAAUAAAUAUUCACCCAAUUCUCAGAACAUAGGCCCUGGUCUGGGGUGAAUUUUCUAUUAAUUUUUUUAGUUGAGUAUUGGGAAUUAUACCAGACUCACUAAUGGCUGUCACUAAAGAACAUACAAAGAGUAGUAUGGAAUUACAAAUCAUAAAAAUACAUCUGAUCUCUAUUCCACUUGCAUAAAUCUCAAGCACUUCUAUCAACUACUGAUUUACACCAAUGCAACAGAAAUCAGAAUCUAGUCCACAGAAUAUAGACACUCAUUGUUCAGCAUACAGUUUUCAACUGGUUAGUCAAGUAUUUUCAUGUAAUCUCCACUGUGGACUGUAU